rnacentral:rRNA from 1 species
GACGAACGCUGGCGGCGUGCUUAACACAUGCAAGUCGAACGGAAAGGCCCUGCUUUUGUGGGGUGCUCGAGUGGCGAACGGGUGAGUAACACGUGAGUAACCUGCCCUUGACUUUGGGAUAACUUCAGGAAACUGGGGCUAAUACAGGAUAGGAGCUCCUGCUGCAUGGUGGGGGUUGGAAAGGUUCGGCGGUUGGGGAUGGACUCGCGGCUUAUCAGCUUGUUGGUGGGGUAGUGGCUUACCAAGGCUUUGACGGGUAGCCGGCCUGAGAGGGUGACCGGCCACAUUGGGACUGAGAUACGGCCCAGACUCCUACGGGAGGCAGCAGUGGGGAAUAUUGCACAAUGGGCGGAAGCCUGAUGCAGCAACGCCGCGUGCGGGAUGACGGCCUUCGGGUUGUAAACCGCUUUCGCCUGUGACGAAGCGUGAGUGACGGUAAUGGGUAAAGAAGCACCGGCUAACUACGUG